rnacentral:rRNA from 1 species
UGGGGAAUUUUGGACAAUGGGCGAAAGCCUGAUCCAGCAAUGCCGCGUGUGUGAAGAAGGCCUUCGGGUUGUAAAGCACUUUUGUCCGGAAAGAAAUCCUUGGCUCUAAUACAGUCGGGGGAUGACGGUACCGGAAGAAUAAGCACCGGCUAACUACGUGCCAGCAGCCGCGGUAAUACGUAGGGUGCAAGCGUUAAUCGGAAUUACUGGGCGUAAAGCGUGCGCAGGCGGUUUGCUAAGACCGAUGUGAAAUCCCCGGGCUCAACCUGGGAACUGCAUUGGUGACUGGCAGGCUAGAGUAUGGCAGAGGGGGGUAGAAUUCCACGUGUAGCAGUGAAAUGCGUAGAGAUGUGGAGGAAUACCGAUGGCGAAGGCAGCCCCUGGCCAAGUACUGACGCUCAUGCACGAAAGCGUGGGGAGCAAACAGGAUUAGAUACCCUGGUAAUCCACGCCCUAAAACGAUGUCAACUAGUUGUUGGGGGAAUUCA